rnacentral:misc_RNA from 1 species
CGCACAUUGCGCCCUUUGGUAUUCCGAAGGGCAUGCCUGUUCGAGCGUCAUUAUCACCCCUCAAGCCCUGGGCUUGGUGUUGGACGGCCGGUCGAGCGAUCGACCCCUCCUAAAGACAAUGACGGCGGCCUGUGGUUCCCCCGGUACACUGAGCUUUUCAUCGAGCACGUAUCGGACGAGGGCACCCGGGACCCGGUCCCCUCCUUGCACAAGGAAACUUCUAUGGUUGACCUCGGAUCAGGUAGGAAUACGCGCUGAACUUAA